AACUCUGGUAUUGAUUGGUGCUUGCAUCAUGAUUUACAUUUGAGUGAGUGGCGAACUGGUGAGUAACACGUGGGAAACCUGCCCAGAAGCGGGGGAUAACACCUGGAAACAGAUGCUAAUACCGCAUAACAACUUGGACCGCAUGGUCCAAGUUUGAAAGAUGGCUUCGGCUAUCACUUUUGGAUGGUCCCGCGGCGUAUUAGCUAGAUGGUGGGGUAACGGCUCACCAUGGCAAUGAUACGUAGCCGACCUGAGAGGGUAAUCGGCCACAUUGGGACUGAGACACGGCCCAAACUCCUACGGGAGGCAGCAGUAGGGAAUCUUCCACAAUGGACGAAAGUCUGAUGGAGCAACGCCGCGUGAGUGAAGAAGGGUUUCGGCUCGUAAAACUCUGUUGUUAAAGAAGAACAUAUCUGAGAGUAACUGUUCAGGUAUUGACGGUAUUUAACCAGAAAGCCACGGCUAACUACGUGCCAGCAGCCGCGGUAAUACGUAGGUGGCAAGCGUUGUCCGGAUUUAUUGGGCGUAAAGCGAGCGCAGGCGGUUUUUUAAGUCUGAUGUGAAAGCCUUCGGCUCAACCGAAGAAGCGCAUCGGAAACUGGGAAACUUGAGUGCAGAAGAGGACAGUGGAACUCCAUGUGUAGCGGUGAAAUGCGUAGAUAUAUGGAAGAACACCAGUGGCGAAGGCGGCUGUCUGGUCUGUAACUGACGCUGAGGCUCGAAAGUAUGGGUAGCAAACAGGAUUAGAUACCCUGGUAGUCCAUACCGUANACGAUGAAUGCUAAGUGUUGGAGGGUUUCCGCCCUUCAGUGCUGCAGCUAACGCAUUAAGCAUUC
rnacentral:rRNA from 1 species